rnacentral:tRNA from 1 species
GCGUCUGUAGCCUAGUUGGUAAAGGCAGCACUUCAGAAUGUGUCUCAGCUCUUAGCUGAGGUCAUGGGUUUGACUCUCAUCAGACACA